GACACGGAGAAACAUUAGCAUUCAUUUGGAGUCCCGUGCACUGAUGUUGACUUGAUGUGCCAAGUCUGAGCCCACCACGCACAACCUGGUGUUUCCACAACUGGGACAAAUGGAGAGCUGACAUUUGGACACUUCGCAGUGCGGAGAGGUUUGUGAGGAAGUAGCAAUGACACUUCAAUGCACCUCGUCCACCGGGCAACAAAAAGCUUUUUCAUCAUGCAACACUGGUGACAUUUAGAAUCCAUGUAUAUUCACGUCUGUUCUGGCAGCAUUUAGAUUCUGACCCACAAAAAUGGAAAUGUUGACAUAUCAUUUAACAUUUUCCCUGCCUCUGUUUUAAACCAAAGUGUUUGAAAGGAUGUGAAAACAGGUGAAAGGGGAAAUAAGUGAGAAUCAAAAAAAUUAACAGGCUUGGAUGCACU